rnacentral:rRNA from 1 species
AUUGAACGCUGGCGGUAGGCCUAACACAUGCAAGUCGAACGCGAAAGUCCUUCGGGAUGAGUAGAGUGGCGGACGGGUGAGUAACGCGUAGGAAUCUAUCCUGUAGUGGGGGAUAACGUUUCGAAAGGAACGCUAAUACCGCAUACGCCCCAAGGGGGAAAGCGGGGGAUCUUCGGACCUCGUGCUAUAGGAGGAGCCUGCGUCGGAUUAGCUAGUUGGUGAGGUAAAGGCUCACCAAGGCGACGAUCCGUAGCUGGUCUGAGAGGAUGAUCAGCCACACCGGAACUGAGACACGGUCCGGACUCCUACGGGAGGCAGCAGUGGGGAAUAUUGCGCAAUGGGCGAAAGCCUGACGCAGCCAUACCGCGUGUGUGAAGAAGGCCUUCGGGUUGUAAAGCACUUUCAGUGGGGAGGAAAAGCUGGUGGCUAAUAUCCAUCGGCCGUGACGCUACCCACAGAAGAAGCACCGGCUAAUUCCGUGCCAGCCGCCGCUGUAAAAC